CAAACUUGUUUUGAGUACUGAACUUCCUGGUUUAUUAUAAAGGCCGUAUUUAUACAUGGUUCGGAUAGAUCAUCAACAGCAUGUUUCCAGCUGCAGUGUGGACACUAAUUCUGUUGCAGAUAGUACGAGGUCAGACCAUCAUACCUGUGUUUGUCCAGAGUAACGCCCCCGUCACACUGACCUGUCCGGCUGAUGACCAGGCCGCCAUACUUACCUGGACCGGACCUGGGGGUAACCUGUACGUUACCGGUACCACAGUGGAGGCUGGUCUGAAUGACGUUAUUAAAUCCCGGAUAUCUGUCGGUCACUCUGGAGGGAGUUACACACUGACGUUUACAGAGUUCCAGGCGAAGGACACGGGGAUAUAUACAUGUACAGUGGAUGGGACAGUAGGCCUACGGAUGGUCAUUAUACAAGGUGUGACUUCAGCCUCCCCAGUGUACACCGGACAGGGUGGGACUGUAACACUACAGUGUACUGAUACUGGUGGUACAGCACAAUGGGUUGUAACAUCACCUGUUGUAUUCAUUUACACUAUCGGGACAAGCAUCAACCCGGCCAUACCCGUCUCUACGACGACCAGACUGAGUGUGACCAGACGGAACGGGAACUACAACCUACAUAUCAGUGAUGUACAGCUGUCAGAUGUCAGGGAGUACAGAUGUACCAUCGGAGUUACAAACACGUACUACUAUCUAAUACUGUACAACGGACCGUCCACCGUAAGUCUGACACCACCAACUGUGACCUAAACUCCUACAGAGGGACAGACUAUCCCCACCAUCACGUGUUCUGCUGCCUGUAACCCGACGUGUACCUACAGCUGGACAAAGGAUGGACAGUCCUAUACAACAGGGUCAGGUCUCCAACUCACCAACAUACAGCGUAGUCAGGGGGGGCGUGUACAGUUGUACGGCCAGUAAUGUGUACGGGAGUGACGUCAGCGUAGCCAUCAAUGUGACCAUCAAUUACGGCCCCGGUACCUCCACAGCUCUGUCCCCGCCAGACACUACCUACGUCAGGACAGAAGGUGACACGUUACCGGACAUCACCUGUACAGCGGACUGUAGACCUGGCUGUACCUUUGUCUGGACACGACCGGACAACACCAGCUUUAUUGUCUCACCUGUGUUAUCACUGGGACAACUGGACAGAUCAGAACACGGGACGUACAAGUGUACUGCUAGGAAUGUUGUCGGGGAGUCGACUACCAGUACAAGUGUUAUUAUGCAAUGUAGACGGACCGUCCACCGUAAGUCUGACACCACCAACUGUGACCUACACUCCUACAGAGGGACAGACUAUCCCCACCAUCACGUGUUCUACUGACUGUAACCCGGUCUGUACCUUCAUCUGGACAAAGGAUGGACAGUCCUAUACAACAGGACGGCCCCAGUACCUCCACAGCUUCUGUCCCCGCCAGACACUACCUACAUCAGGACAGAGGGUGACACGUUACCGGACAUCACCUGUACAGCGGACUGUAGACCUGGCUGUACCUUUGUCUGGACACGACCGGACAACACCAGCUUUACUGUCUCACCUGUGUUAUCACUGGGACAACUGGACAGAUCAGAAGUCGGGGCGUACAGGUGUACUGCUAUGAAUAUUGUCGGGGAGUCGACUACCAGUACAAGUGUUAUUAUGCAAUACGGACCGUCCACCGUAAGUCUGACACCACCAACUGUGACCUACACUCCUACAGAGGGACAGACUAUCCCCACCAUCACGUGUUCUGCUGCCUGUAACCCGACGUGUACCUACAGCUGGACAAAGGAUGGACAGUCCUAUACAACAGGGCCAGGUCUCCAACUCACCAGCAUACAGCGUAGUCAGGGGGGCGUGUACAGGUGUACGGCCAUUAAUAAGCAUGGGAGUGACGUCAGCGUCAACGUCAACGUAAUUGUCAAUUACGGACCUUCCAACGCGAGUCUUACUCCACCAACUGUAUCCUACACUCUUACAGAGGGACAUACUAUCCCCACCAUUACGUGUUCUGCUGACUGUAACCCGGUCUGUACCUACAGCUGGACAAAGGAGGGACAGUCCUAUACAACAGGGUCAGGUCUCCAACUCACCAACAUACAGCGUAGUCAGGGGGGCGUGUACAGGUGUACGGCCAGUAAUGUGUACGGGAGUGACGUCAGCGUAGCCAUCAAUGUGACCAUCAAUUACGGCCCCAGUACCUCCACAGCUCUGUCCCCGCCAGACACUACCUACAUAAGGACAGAGGGUGACACGUUACCGGACAUCACCUGUACAGCGGACUGUAGACCUGGCUGUACCUUUGUCUGGACACGACCGGACAACACCAACUUUACUGUCUCACCUGUGUUGUCACUGGGACAACUGGACAGAUCAGAACACGGGACGUACAGGUGUACUGCUAUGAAUAUUGUCGGGGAGUCGACUAUGAUAACCAGUGUUACUGUACAGUAUUAGGAGGACAGAUCAAUGGAUGGCGAGUGUUACCACGGAAAACAAGGCCGUGAUAAUACCACGCAGUAGGCCGUGCAGCUUCAAGGGAUUUCAACCAAUCAAAAGUCUGUCAGUUAGAGGCCAAGGAGCUAACUGAAGAACAUGAAAGAGACUCGUCUCAUGAAUUGAAGAGGACAUCGUUCACCGCAGAGACUGGUCGGAUCCACAACCUCAGUUUUAUAAGAGACACGACCCGCCUUAAGAUGACGUUGAAUCAGGUCAAGAUGGAAUCAACAUCCCCCCUUCGAAAGCACCAACAGUGUUUAAACGUCAUUUAUUUCGACAUGUGACCAAUUGUGUUUUCAUACAAGGUAUAUCGUUGCCAUUGUCUAACAUGAGAAUAUAUUUUGACAUAUAUCAGAAGAAUUUUACAUUUAGAAACACAACUCAUAUCAACAGAUAAGACCUCCAUGUACUCCACAGUGAAUCAUUGAGCAUCCAUACCGGUCCUUUAUUGGUAGAUUCUGAUACGCGUCAAGCAUCUACCAAAGGCACAGAACUAUCAACAGUUUUAAGUGAAAUGUUAUCUUAAUUUCUCUAUAUCAAACGAUCUCUUACAAUAACUGUCUCUGUGGUAUAACACUGUAAAACAAACGUAUCCAAGAUAAUGAAGGGAUAUCAAAUGAAUAUUCAAGUUUAAGCUCUGUAACAUGAUUUUAUUCCUGAUGAUUUGACACAGCCUUACAAUCUAAGUUUAUUUUCUGAGGAAUGGAGAGAUGGAGUCAUACAUAAUAUCCACAUACACAGCCUUACUAUCAACCAAUUAACAAGGUGGUUAUUUGCAUUGUAACAUUGGAUUGAACAAAGACAGUUCAUCAGUAACUAUGGAAAUCAACAUGUUUUUAAAGGAGUCAGCUGCAAGAUAAAUGCAUGUGUACUGAUGCAUUUCUUAUUCAGUUUAUUCAAUGUUUAAACCGUAUACUACUUGGUAUGUUACUGGUAAUGACUUGACGCUACACCACAGAAAAAGUAGAAUACGUUUUAUAUAAGGAAAUAGUGGAGCUGCCUACAGUAAUCAAAGGGAGAUAACAACAAUUGAUAACAUGAACUGUUUUACAGAUCCUUUUAUAAUGCUUAAUUUCAUCAAAAUAAAAACAUAUUUAUGAAUGAC